rnacentral:rRNA from 1 species
UACGAAGGGGGCUAGCGUUGCUCGAAAUGACUGGGCGUAAAGCGCGCGUAGGCGGCUUUGUAAGUUAGAGGUGAAAGCCCGGGGCUCAACCCCGGAACUGCCUUUAAAACUGCAUCGCUUGAAUCCAGGAGAGGUGAGUGGAAUUCCGAGUGUAGAGGUGAAAUUCGUAGAUAUUCGGAAGAACACCAGUGGCGAAGGCGGCUCACUGGACUGGUAUUGACGCUGAGGUGCGAAAGCGUGGGGAGCAAACAGG